rnacentral:lncRNA from 1 species
GGUAAUGGCCUUUAUCUAUAGUGAGUAGCACUAUAAGCUUCAGAAUGAAGUGUAAUUUAGUGGUGCCUGCUUGAAGAAAAUCAGGCAAAUGAAUUACACAAAUCAGUUCAUAAAUAAAAUUAAUUUAUUGUCACUUUUUGGAUUCAUCUGUAGUGUUGAUUUCUACUUCCUCUUUCCUGUGUAUGAUAUAUGUAGGUAAUAGGUAAAAAGAAGGCUUGGUCAAAAGCCAGCAACAACAUUUGAUUCUUCAACAGUAUUGGUUUUACCAUUGCCGUUGUUAAGUUCCAUACCAUAGACAUGGCCCAUUUUCGUACGUUUGGUCUCCAAAUAUCUCUUGUUCUCGGAGGUGAUAAGAGUUAACAACGGGAUCCUACCAGAAACAGUCAAACCAUAGCCUUUGAGGCCAACAUAUUUUGUUGGAUUGUUUGUCAUCAACUUCAUAGAUUGAACACCUAGAUCCCUCAGUAUCUGCAAAAGUAAGUAGCAUUUCAAAUUGUAAGCCAUGCCUGUGAUAACUUUCCAUAACAACAGUGAGCACCAUGUAUUUAAACAGUUAAAAUUUUAGCUUGAGCAUAAAUAUUACGAGUAAAUGAGCAUUUCAGUCAUUGAAACUGUAAGGGUCGGUCUCAGGCUCUAAAAUUUGUAAAAUAACAAUUUAGUCCAUUUAAUUGAAGAAUGUCAAUUUAGUCAUUCGACCAAAAUAUCUCUUUAAUAAUCAUGCAUCAAAAGCAAUGAAAGAUCUACAUAUUGACAUCAAUAGUAUCUUGCUGCGUCAAAACAAACAUAGAACCACUCAAAAUGUUAUUGUAAAAAAUCCUUCGUGGAACCAUUGAGCAAUUCUAAUAUAUUACCUGUGCGCCUAUGCCAUAUUCUCUAGAGUCAACAGGCAAUCCCAACUCCUCAUUGGCUUCUACGGUAUCGCGUCCAUCAUCCUGUAAGUUAUAAGCACGGAGCUUGUGGCCCAAUCCAAUACCCCUUCCUUCAUGUCCACGUAGAUAUACAAGUACUCCCCUACCGGCAGCCUCAAUCUGUUCCAUUGCAAGUGCAAGUUGAUUUCCACAGUCACAUCUGGCAGAUCCAAAUAUGUCUCCAGUUAGACACUCUGAGUGUACCCUCACAAGAACAUCUUCUCCAUCUCCGAUGUCACCCUGUCAAAUGACAAAUUGUCAAAAACCCAUCACUAAGUGUUGCAAAAUAUAGGUAGUUCCACGGAAACUAUAUUAUAUACACAAGAAAUGCUCACCUUAACCAUUGCAAUAUGCUCAAUCCCGUCUAACAGAGACUUAUAACAGUAUGAUGUGAAUGGCCCCCACAUUGUAGGUAUUCUUGCAGCAGAAGAACGUUCCACUAAUUGAUCUCUCUUUCUUCUAUAUCUGCAAUAACAAUAAGUUUUAAUGUCCUUGUCAUGAGCAAAUAAGCAACAAGAAGUAUCCCAGACAGCAAAAACCUUGAAAAACGAGACUUAUAAAGAGCACAAAAUCACAUAAAGAACACAGCAAUGAAUUUGGCUACCCUGUAUCUGGUCUACCUUCCUAGUCAGUGCUUCUAUGAAUGUUCUUCACUUUUACUUAAACCACACAAGCCAGGACUCUACCAUUUUCCUACGGUGGGAGCUACCCCAAUUUUCGCUCUAA